GGCAGGCUUGCUGCCAUCAUCACCAUGUCUCAGCUCAGCACUGAUACAGCUUGAGAACUUCUGGAAAACUUAAGUUGGUAGUUUCCCUUUGCAGAAAUGUGCUUGCUGAUUGUGAAUACUGUCCCUGGUCACCAGCAGCCACAGUCUGAAGAGAGCAGGAUCCUGAAUUCACAGUUGUCCCCAUCCCUUCCAAAUACAGACCCAAAGGAAGAGCUACCCCUGCCCCCCCACACACACUUCCCAAAUACAGCCUCAAGGAAGAGAGAUGUUGAAUUCUUCACAUGUGGAGGUGUCCAAAUGCAGCUUCAUGAUCUAGUGCUGACUGGCUCCAAUAGAAAUGGUGACUGAUGUCAUAGAAUCAGUGAAUACAGAUUCACCCUCUGUGGCUACAUAUG